rnacentral:rRNA from 1 species
UACGAAGGGGGCUAGCGUUGCUCGGAAUGACUGGGCGUAAAGGGCGCGUAGGCGGCUUGGCAAGUGGAAGGUGAAAUCCCUCGGCUUAACCGAGGAACUGCCCUCCAAACUGCUUGGCUUGAGACCGGGAGAGGUGAGUGGAAUUCCCAGUGUAGCGGUGAAAUGCGUAGAUAUUGGGAGGAACACCAGUGGCGAAGGCGGCUCACUGGACCGGUACUGACGCUGAUGCGCGAAAGCGUGGGGAGCAAACGGGG